rnacentral:rRNA from 1 species
CCUACGGGGGGCUGCAGUGGGGAAUAUUGCACAAUGGGGGAAACCCUGAUGCAGCGACGCCGCGUGAGUGAAGAAGGCUUUCGGGUUGUAAACUUCUUUUAAGAGGGAAGAGCAGAAGACGGUACCUCUUGAAUAAGCCACGGCUAACUACGUGCCAGCAGCCGCGGUAAUACGUAGGUGGCAAGCGUUGUCCGGAGUUACUGGGUGUAAAGGGCGUGUAGCCGGGCUGACAAGUCAGAUGUGAAAUCCCGUGGCUCAACCACGGAACUGCAUUUGAAACUGUCGGUCUUGAGUAUCGGAGAGGCGGGUAGAAUUCCUAGUGUAGCGGUGAAAUGCGUAGAGAUUAGGAGGAACACCAGUGGCGAAGGCGGCCUGCUGGACGACAACUGACGGUGAGGCGCGAAAGCGUGGGGAGCAAACAGGAUUAGAUACCCCUGUAGUC